ACGCCUACUGACAUCGCAAUCAAAAUAAGAUUUCCCAUUUCAUAAAGGUACCAACAAAUUUUCCAGCCUACCUUGCUUGAGCCCUCUUCUCAUUGUGGAAGCAAAGGGCCAACCGCUUGGCCUGUUCACUUGUUCCUUUGGAAUCAAGAAGAAAAAUCGGAGCUUCCCUCCAUUCACGAGUGGAGAGGGUUCCUUUGGGUUUGGGAUCCUCACAUCGGGAUCAACAAAACAUGUCGGGGGUGGGGGAUUUUAGCGAAAAAUCCCAGGUCAAAAGAAAAGCAAAGCCAUGCAAGAAAAAAUGGACUUUUGUUGAUUGACAACGUCCUGAAUGAUACCAUCACCACCGGAUUGAGACAGAACUAGAACUUCUAUGGGAUCUAUCGAACGUGCCAAAUGAUCCCUUUUUUUUUUGAAGGGCGCGCCUGGGGGUUCUACGUAAGACAUAUCCGUUUCCAACGUGGGUCGUGAUAUCUGAAACAAAGUAUGAGAGGGAGAAUGGAACGAUGGCCAUCGCUACUUUUCCUGUUCGUUCGUUAGAGGAAUCACCGCCGAAUUAAGAUUGCGAUAUGGGUUUUGGAGUAUCAAAGGCGAGCAACAAAAACCACCCGAGUCUUGUUUAUUUUGGUAAAUGGAAUUAAUGAAGUGAAGAUGGUUGGUGGUAUGGGCUGGAAGGAGAGUAUCCUCAUACAGUGGUCAGGGCCAGAGAAGGGGAUUAUCAACGGUUUGGG
rnacentral:sRNA from 1 species